AGAGUUUGAUCCUGGCUCAGAACGAACGCUGGCGGCAGGCUUAACACAUGCAAGUCGAACGCCCUCUUCGGAGGGAGUGGCAGACGGGUGAGUAACACGUGGGAAUCUACCUAUCUCUACGGAACAACACAUAGAAAUGUGUGCUAAUACCGUAUACGCCCUUAGGGGGAAAGAUUUAUCGGAGAUAGAUGAGCCCGCGUUUGAUUAGCUAGUUGGUGAGGUAAUGGCUCACCAAGGCGACGAUCAAUAGCUGGUCUGAGAGGAUGAUCAGCCACACUGGGACUGAGACACGGCCCAGACUCCUACGGGAGGCAGCAGUGGGGAAUAUUGGACAAUGAGCGCAAGCCUGAUCCAGCCAUGCCGCGUGUGUGAUGAAGGCCCUAGGGUUGUAAAGCACUUUCAACGGUGAAGAUAAUGACGGUAACCGUAGAAGAAGCCCCGGCUAACUUCGUGCCAGCAGCCGCGGUAAUACGAAGGGGGCUAGCGUUGUUCGGAAUAACUGGGCGUAAAGCGCACGUAGGCGGAUUGGAAAGUUAGAGGUGAAAUCCCAGGGCUCAACCCUGGAACUGCCUUUAAAACUAUCAGUCUAGAGGUCAAGAGAGGUGAGUGGAAUUCCGAGUGUAGAGGUGAAAUUCGUAGAUAUUCGGAGGAACACCAGUGGCGAAGGCGGCUCACUGGCUUGAUACUGACGCUGAGGUGCGAAAGUGUGGGGAGCAAACAGGAUUAGAUACCCUGGUAGUCCACGCCGUAAACGAUGUCUACUAGCCGUUGGGGUACU
rnacentral:rRNA from 1 species